rnacentral:rRNA from 1 species
UACGGAGGGGGCUAGCGUUGUUCGGAAUUACUGGGCGUAAAGGGCUCGUAGGUGGCCAACUAAGUCAGACGUGAAAUCCCUCGGCUUAACCGGGGAACUGCGUCUGAUACUGGAUGGCUUGAGAUUGGGAGAGGGAUGCGGAAUUCCAGGUGUAGCGGUGAAAUGCGUAGAUAUCUGGAGGAACACCGGUGGCGAAGGCGGCAUCCUGGACCAACACUGACACUGAGGAGCGAAAGCCAGGGGAGCAAACGGG